GGGCACAUGGUGUAGUUGGUUAUCACAUCCGCUUAGCAUGGUUUAUGAGUUUGCGGGGGGUGCUGGGUUCAAUUCCCAGUGUGUCCA